CUGGAAUAGGUCUGGCUCUGGGCCCAGGUGGCUUCAGGGAUCAGACAAUGUCAUCAGGAUCUGGUCUCUCUCUCUCUUUGCCUAGCUUUUUCUCAGGCACAUAUGGUGAUACAAUGGCCACUGCAUUUCUAGCCUCUCAUCCUCCCGGGUUCAAGUCCAAUGCGAAAGAAAUAUCUUCCUUCAACAGCUGAAUAUGUUACUGGAAGUUUGGAGAAUCAUUGCUAGAUGGCAAAAACAAAAGAUGUUCCUUACAUUUUGUGAACUGCCUAAGAGAUCUUGGGGGGUGGGCGAUGAAGAGAGGUAUACUGUGGUCUCACUAGCCAAGGGCAGCUAAUAGCUGUAAAACAGGUGGCUUUGGAUACCUCUGAUAAAUUAGCUACUGAAAAGGAAUACCGGAAACUACAGGAAGAAGUAGAUUUGCUUAAAGCACUGAAACAUGUUAACAUUGUGGCCUAUUUGGGGACAUGCUUGCAAGAGAACACUGUGAGCAUUUUCAUGGAGUUUGUUCCUGGUGGCUCAAUCUCUAGUAUUAUAAACCGUUUUGGGCCAUUGCCUGAGAUGGUGUUCUGUAAAUAUACGAAACAAAUUCUGCAAGGUGUUGCUUAUCUCCAUGAGAACUGUGUGGUACAUCGCGAUAUCAAAGGAAAUAAUGUUAUGCUCAUGCCAACUGGAAUAAUAAAGCUGAUUGACUUUGGCUGUGCCAAGCGUUUGGCCUGGGCAGGUUUAAAUGGCACCCACAGUGACAUGCUUAAGUCCAUGCAUGGGACUCCAUAUUGGAUGGCCCCAGAAGUCAUCAAUGAGUCUGGCUAUGGACGGAAAUCAGAUAUCUGGAGCAUUGGUUGUACUGUGUUUGAGAUGGCUACAGGGAAGCCUCCACUGGCUUCCAUGGACCGGAUGGCCGCCAUGUUUUACAUCGGAGCACACCGAGGGCUGAUGCCUCCUUUACCAGACCACUUCUCAGAAAAUGCAGCAGACUUUGUGCGCAUGUGCCUGACCAGGUAAGAAACUGAAAGCAAGAGGAGGAAGAUAAAUGCCCGGAGAUUCCAAGUGGCUGACAUCUCCCUUGCAAUUUAUGGCCCAUUAAAAGCUCUGUUUUGGUUAUGAA
rnacentral:sRNA from 1 species